CCUACGGGAGACAGCAGUGGGGAAUAUUGCACAAUGGGGGAAACCCUGAUGCAGCGACGCCGCGUGAGUGAAGAAGUAAUUCGUUAUGUAAAGCUCUAUCAGCAGGGAAGAAAAUGACGGUACCUGAGUAAGAAGCCCCGGCUAACUACGUGCCAGCAGCCGCGGUAAUACGUAGGGGGCAAGCGUUAUCCGGAUUUACUGGGUGGAAAGGGAGCGUAGACGGCAGUGCAAGUCUGGAGUGAAAGGCGGGGGCUCAACCCCCGGACUGCUCUGGAAACUGUACGGCUGGAGUGCAGGAGAGGUAAGUGGAAUUCCUAGUGUAGCGGUGAAAUGCGUAGAUAUUAGGAGGAACAUCAGUGGCGAAGGCGGCUUACUGGACUGUAACUGACGUUGAGGCUCGAAAGCGUGGGGAGCAAACAGGAUUAGAUACCCUUGUAGUC
rnacentral:rRNA from 1 species